rnacentral:lncRNA from 1 species
GUUUUGAAUCGAUGAUGAAAUGGAAAUGAUUUUGAAAAAUGUACUUGAUGUUGAUGAAGCACCUUUGAUUUUAGUAUUUUUGAAAGGUUAAUUUUAAUAGUCAUUUUGUCUUUUUGGAUUAACAAUUAUGUAUCAACUAAAAAAACAAUAAAAUAAACUAAAAAAUAGAGCAAUAAAAAAGGUAACAAAAAUAAUAAAAAGGAGGGACACACUAUCAACACAAG